UCCCCCAAGAGUGAGUGCAGCAAGGCCCC
rnacentral:piRNA from 1 species